UUGAACGCUGGCGGUAUGCUUAACACAUGCAAGUCGAGCGGCAGCGCGGGGGCAACCUUGGCGGCGAGCGGCGAACGGGUGAGUAACAUAUCGGAACGUACCCAGACGUGGGGGACAACUAGUCGAAAGACUAGCUAAUACCGCAUACGUCCUGAGGGAGAAAGCGGGGGAUCGCAAGACCUCGCGCGUUUGGAGCGGCCGAUAUCUGAUUAGCUAGAUGGUGGGGUAAAGGCUCACCAUGGCGACGAUCAGUAGCUGGGCUGAGAGGAUGAUCAGCCACACUGGAACUGAGACACGGGCCAGACUCCUAAGGGAGGCAGCAGUGGGGAAUUUUGGACAAUGGGGGAAACCCUGAUCCAGCCAUUCCGCGUGAGUGAAGAAGGCCUUCGGGUUGUAAAGCUCUUUCGGCAGGAACGAAACGGCGGAAUCUAAUACAUUCCACUAAUGACGGUACCUGAAGAAGAAGCACCGGCUAACUACGU
rnacentral:rRNA from 1 species